AGUGAACGCUGGCGGUAGGCCUAACACAUGCAAGUCGAACGGCAGCACAGUAAGAGCUUGCUCUUACGGGUGGCGAGUGGCGGACGGGUGAGGAAUACAUCGGAAUCUACUUUUUCGUGGGGGAUAACGUAGGGAAACUUACGCUAAUACCGCAUACGCUCUACGGGUGAAAGCAGGGGAUCUUCGGACCUUGCGCGAUUGAAUGAGCCGAUGUCGGAUUAGCUAGUUGGCGGGGUAAAGGCCCACCAAGGCGAGGAUCCGUAGCUGGUCUGAGAGGAUGAUGAGCCACACUGGAACUGAGACACGGUCCAGACUCCUACGGGAGGCAGCAGUGGGGAAUAGUGGACAAUGGGCGCAAGCCUGAUCCAGCCAUGCCGCGUGGGUGAAGAAGGCCUUCGGGUUGUAAAGCCCUUUUGUUGGGAAAGAAAAGCAGCAGGUGAAUACCCCGCUGUUCUGACGGUACCCAAAGAAUAAGCACCGGCUAACUUCGU
rnacentral:rRNA from 1 species